CCCUCCAGCGGCCGCCGGCGAUGUCGGUGACGGCGACGGUGACGGCGAUGGCGAUGGCGAUGGCGAUGGCGAUGGCGAUGGCGACGGCAUCCACGGUGCUUGAGGAAGUCUAUGUAAACAGUUACGUCUAACCGGCCUCCGGCGUCGGUCAACGGCUUCACCGAACCAGGAAUUUGUAGUUGUGCCGGUCUCACCUUCCUGCGCCGCCUUCGAGGAGGACACAUGAAGAGGUCAAUGGGGAAGGCGAGCUUCUAAGCUACCGGCAAUAGAAUAACGAAGGGC
rnacentral:lncRNA from 1 species